UCAAAAAUAUAAAUGAGGCAGAAUCUGAUGAAGCAAAGCUCAGCUGAUACAAUUCUCCUAGAAAAAGCGUCAGAGAGAGAUGCCCUGCCUUGAGCUCCUCACAGAGCUGACUGUACCACCCAACAUUC